rnacentral:rRNA from 1 species
AACCAGCAACUUGGAGGAAUGUAUAGCAAUAGCUACUUGCAUCAUUGUAUGUAUGAUGCAAGAUCGACUAUGUCGAAUAAAAUUCGAGGUAGAAUUAUGAUAAUGACAUUGUCUGCCUUUGUGUCUUGACCAAAUUACGUGCCAGCAGUCGCGGUAAUACGUAGAAGACUAGUGUUAUUCAUGUUUAAUCGGUUUAAAGGGUACCUAGACGGUAAAUCAAGCCUACAAAAACCAGAAAGGAAGGGACUAAUUUGCUAGAGUUACUUAUGAGGGGGUAUUAAAGUACUGCUGGUGUAGAGAUGAAAUUCUGUCAUACCUUUUUUCAAUAGAAAAAUAACGGCACUGGUUUAGGCGAAGGCAUCCCCUUAUGUGAUAACUGACGUUGAGGGACGAAGGCUUUGUGUAGCGAACAGGAUUAGAUACCCUAGUAGUCAAAGCAGAAAAUGAUGAAUGUCAUAGAUUAGAUAAAUAGUUUAUUCUAUAAAUGAAAGUGUAAGCAUUCCACCUCAAGAGUAAUUUGGCAACAUUGGAACUGAAAUCAUUAGACCGUUUCUGAAACCAGUAGUGAAGUAUGUUGUUUAAUUUGAUGGUCCGCAAAAAACCUUACCACAAUUUGAAUAUUUAUAUCUUUCAUUGUUUUUCUUUUUGAUUCUCUUCUAAGAUUCAUAUCAGAACAAGAAAAAGAAAAAAGCAGGCMAUAAAAUAUAUUUACAAGCGUUGCACGGCUGUCUUCAGUUAAUGUCGCGAGACUUUGGUUAGUUCCAUUAAAUUAACGUAAACCCUUACUUUAUUUUUUAUAUAGAGUAGUUCCCCGCUAUAUAGGAUAUGAUAACAGGGACUAAGACAAGUCAUC